CAAACUUAAAGUACGUUGGUGAUAUUUUUAUUCCAUUUGACACAAAGUGCAUAUUCAUUUUGAACCAUGAACUGAGCCUUCUUGGAGUAUUUUAAAGGGAAAGUUCAGCGUUUGAAAGUUCAGCGUUGGGUCGCUUUCCUGCUCGGUGGUAGCUAGCUUAACUAGGGUGUGCAGAAAGGGACUUCUUAUUGUUUCAGGGUGGAGUUUUAAGGCACAUUACCGCCCCAUACUGUAUUGGCAUGUAGACCGAAGUAAACAAGACAGGGACAAAAUGUGAGGUUCCUAGUCUCCUUCCCUCCCUUUUCUUCCCCUGUGUCUCUUUCCCUGUGUGUUUGUCUUGUUUGUCUGCUCACCUGGAGAUGGGGGUAGACUCCACUCACCUUGCUUCAAUCAAGUCUGCUCACCUGCUGCUAAUCUGCAGUCAAGUCAUCCACUCUGUCUGCAGUACUUAAGCCCGGCUAAGUCCUCCACUCAUCGCCAGAUCGUCUAUCUACCAAGCGUGAUCUCCAUGCAACUUUUCAAGAACCAAACGCCCAGCUCCAGAUCCACAGCCAGCCACUCACCAUCCAUAACGCACCCUGGAAACCUGAACUCUACCUGCAAGUUCUCUCAUUAAAACCCUGUUUUCAAAACUUCA